GCCUACGGGAGGCAGCAGUGGGGAAUAUUGCACAAUGGACGAAAGUCUGAUGCAGCAACGCCGCGUGGAGGAUGACACAUUUCGGUGCGUAAACUCCUUUUAUAUAAGAAGAUAAUGACGGUAUUAUAUGAAUAAGCACCGGCUAACUCCGUGCCAGCAGCCGCGGUAA
rnacentral:rRNA from 1 species